ensembl:lncRNA
CUGCUGGAGGCUCGUUACAUUGCUCACGUCAAAACGGGACAUGGUGCUUCCGUGCCAGGUUACGUCGACUUUGCAUAUUUUGCCAUUGACACACUUUCAGGGCUCUCACGUGUCACGCAUCGAUCGUGACAGUCAGUCAUUUCGGUCUUUAGUAACGCGUCAUGUGACUCACAACUGCUGGCUCCUCUUUACGGUGGCCCUGAAGUGCAAAACACAACGGCAAAUGGGAAAACACAACAAAAUGAACUUACGGAAAGGGUAGGGCAGCAGAGGACAGACCCUUCUGAUUGGACAGACGGACUCUGUCUUUUAACAGGAAAUGAUACAGGGCUCUCAAGUGUCACGCAUUGAGUCUCGCAUUUCGGUCUCUUGUCACGCACUCCCGCCACAUCCAAUUCCUAAUGUCGUGUCGGCCAUAGCGCCUGCGGCGUCCCCCCCCCUUUAUUUAUUUACAGCACCUAAGUAUAAUUGAACAAAACACCGGUAAAACAAUGGUGAAACACUAGUAGUGUGGAAGUUGCAUUCGAACAUAAAAGGCAAUUCCUCAAGUUGAGAACACAAGCGUGUGUCUCGUUUAUUUUUCACAACGGAUGAAUAAACAAGAUGGCGCAGCCCUGUAAUCUCCCUAGCAACGGGCUCUACGUCAUCAGCAACAGAACAUUUAAAGGGGCCGCGAUCCCAGAACAGUCGUAAUUACGUGUAUGACACAUUACCUAAAUAACUGCAUGAAACUACAGUGUGUAGAACCACACUAAGAACAUUAUGAAGUCACAUUCACUACACACGUCCCCCCAGAAUUCACCAUAAGAAAAAAAUCAUCUGGGAGGUGGUCGUAUUAACCGGCCAGAAUGGCUGUGUUCACAGGGGGUCGAGGAGCCACUACCGUGGCAGGUGUACCACCGUGACAUGGGCGUGGGACAUCGAGUGUGGGAGUUUUGGGAGGGGGGGGGGAGUGCAGAGCUGGAGGACGCCCGCGUCGUGGGGGCUGGGCCGGUUCAAUGGGCCUAGCAACGUCCAAAUGAGCCGGUUUGAGGCAGUCAAUGGAGAGUCGCUCUGGUUUACCACCCAUGUCCACCACAAAAUGUGUGGUGGACAUGGGUGUCCGCGUCGCGGCGAAUAAAGACGUAUUCAGCAGUCUGAAGCCCAGCAGGGACGUGCGACUGAGGUAGGCCGUGACGGGAAGUAGGGACAGGUGCGACAAGCCUUGCAUUGUCCAGUAGCGCGGCCCGCUGGAGAGUCGCAGACCAGUGAGUGGGAACAAAAUCCUCUGGAACCCACAGUGGCUGGCCAUAGACAAGCUCUGCGGAUGAGGACUGCAGGUCUUCCUUUGGUGCAGUCCUGAUGCCCAGCAUCACCCACGGGAGUUUGUCGACCCAGUUGCUGUCUUUGAGGUGGGCACGAAGAGAAGCCUUCAUCGACCUAUGGAAUCGCUCACAUUAGCCCAUUAGCCUGCCGGUGGUAUGCAGUCGUGCGGUGGAGUUUCGUUCCGAGGCUCUGGGCCACCGCGUUCCACAGCUCAGACGUGAACUGCGCGCCCCGGUCAGAGGAUAUGUCCGAAGGGGUGCCGAAACAAGCAACCCAGGUGCUGAUAAAUGCCCGUGUCAUCUCGACAGCUGCCAUGGAUGUCAGCGGUACAGCCUCGGGCCAACGGGUGGUCCUGUCAACAGGUCAACAGGUAGGUGAAACCAUGAGAGGAGGACAGAGGGCCAACCAGAUCCACGUUAACAUGGUCAAAACGCCUCUCUGGCACCGGGAACAACUCUAACGGAGCUUUAGUGUGGCGGUGUACCUUGGCCCUUUGUGUGAGGGGUCAGGACUUCGACUCAGGUGCAGAGCAAUAAGGCAACAAAAACUUCUUUCCAGGUUUGGAAUUUUUUACUCGGAAAAUCUAAUGCAAGACAAAAAGGGUGCACAGGCAAAGAAUCCACACGCUCUUGUAGAAACAAAAAAGGAAGAGGGCCUGGCAACGAAGUAAAAACAAGAUAACCAAAAACAGCACUGGGAAUUUCUUACUACAAACAUGCACCUCUGGGAAAGACAAAAGAUAACCUGACACAGACAAGUGGGGGAACUGAGGCUUAAAUACAGGUGGAUGUGAUUGCAAACUAAACUCAGCUGUGGGGAGAAACGAAGGGUGAAGAAACUAGAUACAGGAAGUGCGGUGGUUACAAAAAUAAAAAUAGGAAGUUAAUCUUCACUGUCUCUUCGAGUCGUCACACGUUGGCACUCAAGGCAAGUGGUAGCCCAGUCUCUUACGUCCUUUUUGAGGUCGCGCCAAACAAACUUCGCCACCACCAGUCUCGGUGACACUUUCGAACCAGGGUGGGAGAGACCAUGGAUUGCAUCAAGACGCGUCGUCUCCACCCAGUGGGAACGAUCGGCCGAGGACUGCCCGUGGAGACGUCGCACACGAGCGUGAUGUCGGCUUCACCAAAAACCACAUCCUCUAUUUUUAAACCUGUAGUCGAGGUCCUUAGGGUAUGCACGUCUGGGUCUGUGGUCUGAUCCGCUGCCAUGCGGCUGUAAUCCAGUCCGAGAUGGACUGCUCCUGCCACAGCCUGUGACAGGCAGUCCGCCACCUGGUUGUCCUUACCGGCCACGUGCUGUAAAUCCGUGGUGAACUCGGAAAUGUAGGACAGAUGACGUUGCUGGCGGGCGGACCUCGGCUCGGGCCACCUUUGCCAUGGCGAAAACCACCACCGGCGGUGAAGUGUCGACCUUCCAGCAGGAAAUGAAAGUGUCUGAUGGCGAGGUAGAGACCCAGCAGCUCCCGGUCGAAAGUGCUGUACUUACGCUCGUUAGCGCGCAGCUGGCGGCUGAAGAAAGCAAGCGGCCGCCAGGCCCCGCCUACCCACUGCUCGUAGACGCCACCGACAGCGUCAGAGGCAUCCGAGGUGAUAGCGACGGAGGCCGUGGCUGAAGGAUGUGCCAGCAUGGUGGCCCGCGCCAGGGCUGCCUUAGUGUCAACGAAUGCCUUGUCCCUGCCCUCAGUCCAGUCCACGGUGGUAAAAGUUCACCAUGCCGAGGAACUCCUGCAGGGCUUUCACGGUGAGCGGGCGUGGAAACUGUGUGACCGCCUCCACCUUUGAUGGGAGCGGGACUGCACCGUCCCUGGUGACUCUGUGUCCCACGAAGUCAAUGGUGGAGAGACCAAACUGGCACUUAGCAGGAUUAACAAUCAGGCCAUGUUGGUUGAGCCGCUCAAAAAGUGCUCGGAGGUGCGACAGGUGCUGAUUUUUGGACGUGCUCACUACAAGAAUGCCGUCCAAAUACACAAAAGGAAAAGGCAGGUCACGUAAAACAGAGUCCAUCAGGCGCUUAAAAGAUUGGGCUAAGUUUUUAAGGCCGAACAGCAUCCUUAAGAACUCAAAAAGACCAAACGGCGUAAUCACUGCUGUUUUUGGGAUAUCCAGUGCGUGCAUGGGCGCCUGAUGAUAGCCCCGGCGAGGUCUACCUUAGAAAAUAUCACAAUACCGGCCAGGUGUGCUGAAAAAUCUUGUAUGUUCGGGACCCGGUAUCGGUCGGGUCGAGGCGCCGAGCACGGGCGUAGACGGGUGGACCAGUAGUGGCGAUAUGGUGUUCCACACCAUGCUUCACGGCAGACGCAAGGAAAGUGGGCUGGGUGAGUGCUGGAAAACCAGCCAGUAGACGGUGGAAGUCAUCUGAUGGGGAGAGCAUGCUAGACAGCUGCGCUCACUUCCUCCCCUCAUCACAGGCUCUCAGUCCCGCCACUGAUUUAUUGAUGGCCAUAUCUAGAAAGCGGCAUUUCUCAGCUUUCAGAAUCCACUUGUGCAAAUAGUUAAGGAGUCACUGUAAUUUGAAUCCUCCAUGUCACUCUCCGUCGCCGCCGAAAAGCUUCGGAUUAAGAGGGUUAAAAGACAGACAGUCUGUCUGUCCAAUCAGAAGGGUCCGUCCUCUGCUUCCUGCCAUAAGGCCCUACCCAUUCCGUACGAAGUUAAUUCCGUUGUGUUUUCCUAUUUGCCGUUGUGCGUUCCUAUUUGUCGUUGUGUUUUGCACUUCAGGGCCACCGUACCUCUUUCUUCUACGUCGGCUCGGCGUUGCCAACUCUUUUAAUAAUCAAAUUUGAUCAUCGAUUCGUUGUUGCAGCCCUACACAAUAGCGACUUUUGAUUUUAAAAGUAGUGAUGUAGAUUACAUGAUGUAAAUUAUACUCAAGUAUGAGUAAAAUUACACACUUGAAGAAAUACUCAAUAAAAUAAAAAGUCCCCCAAAAAUCGACUUAAUUACAGAGUAUUUGUAAUUCGUUACUUCCACCCCUGCCAGUAGGUCCCCAGAAUUCCAUUCCGUCUGAAUACAUUCAUAGUACUUAAACGCCUAGAGGGGAUUAUAAACUGAAUCAUACCCUUCAUAUUAUGAAAAUCUAUAUGAAAGUAUGGAGACUCUGAGGUUCGAACCUUUCAGACGACACAACUAGUUUAUAGUCAGCUUCUCAAAAUACCAUACAGUACAUAAGCCAAUUUCUUUCAAAAUCUCAAUCACAAAACCACAUCUGGUCCAUUUCAGAUUAGAUUUAAACGAAAACAAUCAGUAGUUAGAUGAUAAUGUGACUCGGUGAUAACCAGAACAUUCUGAUGUACCAUUUUAGAAAUUAAAGCCUCUCGAAAUGCCACCUUAGUUGUUGUUUACUGGAUUACCAGUAGGUGGUGUCGGGGCCAAAGUCUCAUCAAACAUGUGUAUAUUGGAAAGAAUCUGAUGAUGUGGAGUAGAGUUACAAAUGUUUAGUUGUUCUUGGCGGACGAUCAACUUUGCCGAUGCACCAGAAAUAUGGAGCAGAUUAGAUAAAGUAUGGUCGAGUUAAAACAACUUCAAUUAUCAUGGCGAAUGGUGUUGUUUUGAAAAUGCUCCUUACACACAUAGUUUAUAAUUUCUUCCGGCAAAAUGAAAUUUUUAUAGCCUAGGAUCUCAAGAUUACACAGCACGAAUUUGAAAAUAAUCUGGUUUAAUCCCUGGGAGGAGUUUGGUCUUUUAGAACUCUAAAAAAUCAUGAAAAUCGGCAAAAAAUGCAGAUUUCUUUUUUUUAUCACUUUAUUUUUGCAUUUUCAACACAGGCAGGAUACACAGGAUAUGUUUUUCCUAGAUUUUCCAUCAGGUGAUUCUGUAUUUCUUUGAGUUAUAAACUCCCAUUGUGGUUGCAAUUAUUCCAUUGUUACCCUGUCUAAUUUUGUGCUUCAUUUUCCUGUCAAAAAAUCCCAUAACUGUAGGUAUCUGAAGUGGUCCUGGUUAUUUAGUGUGUAUUUGUCUUUCAGCUCCUGUAAGCUUGCCACCCUUCCAUCUUUGAUAACUGUGCAUAUAACUGUUAUUCCACAUGAGAUCCAUUGUUUAAACCUCUGAUAAAGACUACCUGGAAUGAUAUGUGUAUCGUAGGCUAUCCAUCGUAGGGGCCCAAGCUCCUCCUCUAAUUCUUUUUUCCUUAUUAAUUGAAACCACAGCUCGUAAACCAGGUGACAACGUCCAUUUGUACAAAGAGAUGUUUUGCCAUACUUCUGUCUCCAAUGAGACUUUGGAAUUCCCUUCCUUCUACAUAAACCUCUAGAUUUUUCCACUUGAUAAUCGUUGGUACACUAGUAUAUUAUUGGUCUAAUUUGAGCUGCCAGAAAGUACGCCCUGAGGUUUGGUAGUGACAUUCCCCCUUCAUUUUUUUCAAUCUGUAAUGUUUUAUAUUUGAUUCUUGGCUUUUGCCCAUUCCUUAUAAACCUUGAAAUAAGUGUAUCCCAAGCUAUGAAUUGCUUCUCAGGGAUCUCGAUUGGAAGAGAUUGAAAGCAGCAGAGGAGUUUUGGAAGUGUGCUCAUUUUUAUAGUACCUAUUCGUACCUAAUCUAACAGGAGAACGGCCUACCUCUCAAUGUCACUCCUAAUGUCUUGAUUCACUUUGGUAUAGUUGGCUUUAUAUAGAUCAUCAAAACAUUUUGUUAUAGUUACUCCAAAGUAUGUCAUCCUUUUAGAACUCUUUUAAGUUAAGAGUUUGUUUUAUACUUUCAGAAGGUUUAUAAUUUAGUUUUAUGAUUUCCGUUUUUGACAGAUUCAAUUUGAAUGCAGAGUAAGAACCGAACGUCUCGAGUUUCCUUUCACAAUUAUAUAUCGGCUUUCCUUAGCGCUGAUUUCUUUGGUACAUUCAAAUUUCACUGAGUUAGAUAUAAGAACACUCUUCCACGUGCCUGAUGAAAUGAACUAUAGAAUACAUUCAAAUAGCCGGACCUCCCAAGUUUCUCUGAGACACACAAUGCAUACUGUAUAUUUGUAGUACUUCCAAACCACACACAAGAGGGCAGCAUCGCUGCAUCGGCCGCAUAGAACUCAUAAACCUGGUCAGGCUGACGGUGCCAGCAGCUUCUUCUUAUAUUUCUUCCGUGGCACCUCAACUCCUUCACACUUUCAGCUGUUAAAACUCACUUUCACUUUUCAGAUAUUAAAUCAACUUUCACAUUUUUCUGUUUCGACAAUCUUUCAGCUACAGACACCAUUUAAACUUUAAAAUGUUGACAAAUGUCUAAACUAUUUUAUAAAAUAAACAGCUUCUUGAUAUGUAUUUUACUUUUUUUAAUGAUCACUGAUAAUGUUUCAUUGUUUGUCUCGCUCUGCACUCUGAGCAGCUCGUUAAUGAUUGCAGGUGCGCUGUUACCGUGGCAACUCAGACGCACUGCACUCCCUCUGUCUGUGCCACACAGCUGAUCACUGCAGUCUGACAGGACCUGAUCUUAUAGAGGACUCUUUGAAUCUUGCUAGGGGCAACUGUGGUGCAUGGAGUAGAGAUGGUGUGCUGGUAACUGAAAGGGUGGUGGUUCCAGCCCUGGCUGCUCCAUGUUUACCAGGGUCCACCAGUGUUUUUCCCCUAUUUAGUAUACCGAAGAUAAUAAUAAGCCAAUCGCAUGGGCCUUUUUAUGUUUCAUUUUCUUGUGGGGGAGUGACGCAGUGAUAGAGCAGCCGUCUUGCAUGUGUUUGUUGUAUGGUUUGUUUUAGUCAUCUUAUUUGCUGUGAUUUGAUUGGUUUCCUUCAAGUGUUAUUUAAUUUUGUGAUUAUUUACUUUAUGGUUAUGCCUUUUUCACACUGACCUCCCGAAUGUUACAAGUUAGUCCCACAUGGUCUAUUGUUUUUGUUGGUUUUGUUUGAUAGAGCUAUCAAGUGAACAGUAUUUGAUCUCAUUUAAUAAACCGUUUUCGCUAUAGUUGUCAUGUCCAGGAAUCUGUGUUAAUCAGGUUGUCUCGUGAUUUCUUGUUUAAUUUUGAAAAUUAACCUUCCUCUUGUUGGAGGCAACUUGCUCCUUCCCUUGUAACAGUCCGAUUGUCCGCCCUGCCCCUGAUGGUCUCCACCUAUGCCCUUACCCUGUGUGUGUGUGUGUGUGUGUGUGUGUGUGUGUGUGUGUGUGUGUGUGUGUGUGUGUGUGUGUGUGUGUGUCAGGGCCAAUGUCUGGUCCUGACAAUAGUAGUCUCUGGUUCCAGUUUAUUCUGGCUCUUGUGUAGAAUAUCAGCGGGUCACAAUACUAUAACAAAAAAUAUUAGUAUUUAUGCUAUUAAUACUACCACUAAUUUUACUACACAUACUACUAUGACUAAUAGUAUUUCUGAUUUUUAAACUCAAUCAUUGGUGUGAUUCUGGGAUCCCUGUUGUGUAACCCAUCGGUCUGAAUGUUGCUGAAUUGGUGAAAAGUGCCAGCUUGUCAACAUGAUUUUUUGAAGGACGUUCAUAAAACACUGAUGGUGGGUUAGGUCAAGGGCCAUGUCCUCUUCAGAAGAGAGAAGAUCCAAUAUCGAUAUCACGUUUAACAAGGGUUUAUUUUUCUUUAUAUUAUCUCUGUUGAAAGUAAAGGAACAUCCUCUGUUGGAGGGGUUAUCUGCUGAGUUUCAAGAAAAUGUCUUUGUAGUGACCACUGCUGCUCUUUGAUGACAUAGUAUAUUAACAAUGAACACAUUGUGUAACUCUAAAAAAAGUCAUAUCCCAACCUGUCACUGUUUACUGAUGGCGUAGCAGCUGUUUGUGAUUACUUGAUUCUUGUAAAUUGUAGUUUUUGUUCCUGUCUUUGUGUGGCCCCUCAGGGGUGUAAGAAUGAGGAGGAGGGAGAGGUGGAGGAUGCACCAUGCCACACCGGUCCUGUGGGGAGGUAGAUCCAGCUGCCACUGAGGCUGGGAUUCAUUUAAUUGAUGAGUCGCAUCCGUUCUCUCUCAGUCAGCAGCUUGUUAGCGCGUCAGCUGCUUCAGGAAUGAAGUGAUGUCCCUGGUUUAUUUACUGAUAUUAACUGACACAAUUUAGUGUGUAUCUUAAUCUCAUAUGACUGGUGAUUCAUUGAGUAUAGUCACUUAAUUUGCCUUUAAUACAAUAUUUAAUUGAGAAUGGCCGUGGCACAUCAACUAACAGUCUAUUCUCCCCCAGGUCUCGUCCUAAGUUAGUUUAUUGGUCAAUAGCAGUUUGCAGCACUCAAAGAAUGCAGUCACCACCACAGAGGGCUUUCAUCAUGUCUACUGGAAGACCACAACAGAGGACCCUUCAUCUAGAGGACCACAGCAGAGGGGAAUUAUUUUUUUCUCUACUGAAAAGCUAAACUUUGUUAAGUUAUUUGCAUUUCAAGGAAGUCCUAGAGGUCACUUUUCACUUUUGUCUAAAUAAUAAAAGCAAAAAAUGGUACAGUUAUACACACCAUUAUUUGAUGUACUAUUCUAUUAGAAUGAUCAUAGGGUUUGGAUAUCAUAGAUGAAAGUAGUAAAUCAUCAUUUUAAAACACCCACUGGUAAUAUCUUGACCAAGAGCAAUGCAUCCUGGGAGACACUGGAGCUAACAAGCUGCAUCCACAGACGCUUAGCAAUUAUCAAUACACACAGGGCCAGUGAUUAUAUCAUGAUGACCUCCAGUGUCAUGAAACAAGCGUUGCAGCCUGGAGACCAACUUGACAAGAUCUGAUCCCUGAAGGAGGCACAAGAUAAGGCUCCAGACGGAACAAUGUACAGCACUCUUCACACACCAAAUGCCUCAUUUCACCUGUGCUUCUCUUUGUAAAUCAAAGGACAACAUAACAGCACAUCACUUUUUGGUUUCGGACGUAACAUAUUCAAUCAGUUUUUUUACUUUCCCCACAGAAAGUCUUCUUUGUGACAUAUAUUUGACAUACCAUGUUAAAUACCGCAAAUUACACUUCACACCCAAAGAUAUUACAGCAAUGCAGUAAUCACAGCAGAGCUGUGUGUCAGGGUUACACAUAUAUUUUAAUUCGUGAAGUUAAAACAGGGGUCUAGGAACAAAUGAAAACAAUGAAACAAAAUGUACCAAUUUCAGACACAUCUUAUGUUCAUCAGUGUGAAUUUUGAUCUAUCACUUCUCCCACGCUAACUAAGAAGCAUCAGCAGAUUAACUGUAAUCUGAUUUACAGCAGCUGCAGUCCACCAGCACACAGAGAGACAGCUUCCAUGCUGUACACAUCGAGCUUGAUAGAGUGAGGACACAACGAAUGCUUAAUUCAUUGGUUGGACCAACCUUUUCUUUAGGUUGCACUCAUGCUACAACAACCAUAAUCUCUUUUCUGCAAUGACAAGGUCCUUUUAGAUUUUCAGUUAGCACAAUAUAUACUUUAGUAUUGAUUCACAUACAUGUUUAGUGAUAUAUGAGCAGAAAUUGACAAUUUUUUAUAGAAGAAAAAUAAGUAUUAUUUUACACAUUCAGAAAUCUGUUCUUUGCAUUUAACCCAUCCCACACAGUGGGAGCAGUGUGCUGCCCUAAAGGCGCCCGGGCAGCAGUUAGGGGUUAGGUGUCUUGCUCAGGGACACUUCAACAUGGAACAUGGAGCAGUCAGGAUUCGAACCGCCAACCCUGCGGUUUCCGGCGCACCCUCUCUACUCCACGCGCCACAAAAUAACACCUAAAUCAAUUUAUUUUGUAUUGCCCAAAAUCACAGAUUUGCCACAGAGGGCUUUAAAAUCUGUACACAUGUGACGUCCUGUCACAGGCAGACGCUCCCCGUCCCCGGAAUAUUGAGGUGCGAAGAUCGGGACCUCAGUCACCCCUGUUUUGAGCCAUAAUGGUUUGUGCCAUCUGGGAUCAGCCCACCGACUCACCUGGGGCUCGUCACUAAUCAGAGCCAGCCCUGUACUUAAGCCUGUGACUCCCCAAAGCUCCUUGCGAAGUCUUGUGCAUGUUCCAUCACAUUCCGAGCGUUUUCCCGAUCUCCUGUUCUUGCCUGUUAUUGACCUCUCGUUUGUCCCAGACCUCGUUCCUGCCUGCCUGAUCCUCAACGGUAC